CAGCCGCCACGGUAAUACGUAGGUGGCAAGCGUUGUCCGGAAUUAUUGGGCGUAAAGGGCUCGCAGGCGGGUUCUUAAGUCUGAUGUGAAGGCCCCCGGCUCAACCGGGGAGGGUCAUUGGAAACUGGGAAACUUGGGUGCAGAAGAGGAGAGUGGAAUUCCACGUGUAGCGGUGAAAUGCGUAGAGAUGUGGAGGAACACCAGUGGCGAAGGCGACUCUCUGGUCUGUAGCUGACGCUGAGGAGCGAAAGCGUGGGGAGCGAACAGGAUUAGAUACCCCGGUAGUCCCUGUCUCUUAUAC
rnacentral:rRNA from 1 species